rnacentral:miRNA from 1 species
UAUGCCAACAUAUUGCCCUC